rnacentral:misc_RNA from 1 species
GAUGAAGAACCGUAGCAAAGUGCGAUAUGUACUGCGCUGUGCGCGAAGUGCGCAGUCAUUCUUCGAAUACACAUUGUCCUGUCUGGCGAACAGCCGGCAGGGCAUCUGCUUCAGGGUUGUUGAUUAAUUUAGCGCCGCUUUUUGCCGGUGUUUUCGGGGUGUCACCGCCGUGUGUCCCCCACCACUUUGUGUCCUCGAUGCUCUUGCUUCUUGGACCUGGGAGCAGUCUUCAGUCUGGUUCAUUGCUUGCAUUGUUCCGCGGUUUGCCUCUCCCUUUUGAUCUUACCGACCUGAAGUCAGGUGUGACUACCCGCUGAACUUAAGCAUAUCAAUAAGCGGAGGA